AGAGUUUGAUCAUGGCUCAGAAUGAACGUUGGCGGCGUGGAUUAGGCAUGCAAGUCGAGCGGUAGGGAACUGCUCACUUUGCAGCUGUUAGUUAUUAGCUGUUAGCUAUUAGCCAAACAACUCGAAGUGAGCAGUUCCUGAGAGCGGCGAAAGGGAGAGUAACGCGUAGUUAUGUGCCCCGAGGACCGGAAUAGCCACGGGAAACUGUGGGUAAUGCCGGAUAAUAUCUGAGGAUCAAAGGGUGUGAUUCCGCCUUGGGAGCAGACUGCGUCGUACUAGCUUGUUGGUGGGGUAAUGGCCUACCAAGGCGAUGAUGCGUAGCGGGUGUGAGAGCAUGACCCGUCUCACUGGGACUGAGACACUGCCCAGACACCUACGGGUGGCUGCAGUCGAGAAUCUUCGGCAAUGGGCGAAAGCCUGACCGAGCGACGCCGUGUGUGGGAUGAAGGCCUUCGGGUUGUAAACCACUGUCGUAGAGGAGGAAGUUGAUUGGGGUUCUCCCCAGUCAUUGACCUAUUCUAGAGAAGACG
rnacentral:rRNA from 1 species